rnacentral:lncRNA from 1 species
UCAAAACUCAAAUGCUCCUGAGAGAGAUUGAAUUCAAACCACAGGCGACAUUCCUGGUCAAGGUAGCAAGUGAUUGUUACUUCUGGCCAGAAUAUAAAAGCUGAAGCCUGCAAAAAGACGUGGCCUUGAAAGGCAAGACUAGAGAUCAAUAUGGACUACAAACUUCAUAGAGUAAAAGUCUAUGUCAUGGUGGAAAACAAGCAGUGGAGAGACAUAGGCACAGGACAAAUUUCAUCCAAAUACAGUGAACAGCUCCAAGGUGUGUGCCUACUUGUUCACUCAGAAUCAGAUGGCUCACCAAUUAUGGAGUGCAAGAUACAUCCUAACGUGCCCUAUCAGAAACAACCAGG